AGGACAGCCCCUGAAGUCUCUUCUUGCUGACCAUGAAGGUGAAAAAUAAUUACGGACUUCUGGAUCGUAAGACUGACUAUUCAGGUGAAAUUUAAUUUCUGAACAGGUGAUUUCUUAAUUAUUCAGAAUGCUGGAUGUUUUUCAAUAACUUACUCCAGAAUAUGAUUAUCUCUGCCUUCUUCCUAAAGCAGCAUUUAAAGGAGGAUAUGGGCCUGACACUGACAGCUGUAGGUGGAGCAAAUAUGCCUGUUACUAAAAUACCAGUUACUCUGGCUGAACCUUGGGUGCAGCAGAACUUCUUGACAACAGUCUUGACAACUGUGGGUUUCUUGACUUGUUCCUCUGGAUGGAGCUAUUCUGUCAUGUGCUGUGUGUGUGGCCAUGAUCAGAUCUUUGCCAAAUGUCGUGUUUUGGGGGGAUAUGUCACAGCAUCUACAGCAGGAAGGAAACGUGUGGAAUUUUGGAACUUGCAUUGAAACUGGGUUAGACCAAGCUAUUGAAAUGAUAAAGGAGACCAAUUCUA